rnacentral:other from 1 species
AGAGCCCUGCUGUGUGCGUGAUUCUAUGGCUAUUAUAACCCUACAAGCAUGUGAAUAGGGAAUCCAGCUCCUGCAGUGAAUUGCAGACCUCCCGGCUUGCCGGAAGAAGGGAGCGUGAAGCUGCGGGGAAGACGCCCACCUGUAUCAAAAACAGGUUAUCAUGUGCCGGAACACGGCUUGGUGGGGUUUCC